rnacentral:rRNA from 1 species
GACGAACGCUGGCGGCGUGCUUAACACAUGCGAGUCGAACGGAAAGGCCCUGCUUUUGUGGGGUGCUCGAGUGGCGAACGGGUGAGUAACACGUGAGUAACCUGCCCUUGACUUUGGGAUAACUCCAGGAAACUGGGGCUAAUACCGGAUAGGAGCUCCUGCUGCAUGGUGGGGGUUGGAAAGUUCCGGCGGUUGGGGAUGGACUCGCGGCUUAUCAGCUUGUUGGUGGGGUAGUGGCUUACCAAGGCUUUGACGGGUAGCCGGCCUGAGAGGGUGACCGGCGUCAAUGGGACUGAGGGAGGGCCCAGACGGCUACGGGAGGCAGCGGUGGGGAAUAUUGCGCAGUGGGCGGAAGCCAGAUGCGGCAACGCCGCGUGCGUAAUGACGUCCUACGGGUUGUAAACCGCUGUCGCCGGUGACAAAGCGUUAGUGACGGUAACGGGUAAGGAAGCACCGGCUAACUACGUG